GGGGUGCUAGCUCAGUUGGUUAGAGCGCAACGUUGACAUCGUUGAGGCCAGUGGUUCGACUCCACUGCACCCCACCA
rnacentral:tRNA from 1 species